rnacentral:rRNA from 1 species
AGUGAACGCUGGCGGUAGGCCUAACACAUGCAAGUCGAACGGCAGCACAGUAAGAGCUUGCUCUUACGGGUGGCGAGUGGCGGACGGGUGAGGAAUACAUCGGAAUCUACUUUUUCGUGGGGGAUAACGUAGGGAAACUUACGCUAAUACCGCAUACGACCUACGGGUGAAAGCAGGGGAUCUUCGGACCUUGCGCGAUUGAAUGAGCCGAUGUCGGAUUAGCUAGUUGGCGGGGUAAAGGCCCACCAAGGCGACGAUCCGUAGCUGGUCUGAGAGGAUGAUAGCCCACCUGGGAGCGGAGCCCGGGCCAAGCCUACUGCGGGAGGCAGCAGUGGGAAAUGGGGGACAGUGGGGGCAAGCCUGACCCAGCAAUCCGGCGGGGGUAAAGAAGGCUUCGGGUUUGUAAAGCCUUUUUUUGGGGAAAAAAAAGCGUCAGGUUAAUACCCCGCUUGUGUGACGGUACCAAAAAAAGAAGCACCGGCUAACUACGUG